rnacentral:misc_RNA from 1 species
AGAAAAUGAAAUCAUAAUCUAAAAUCUCAUUCCAUGGCCAAUUCCAAAGUGAAUCAAACGAGCAAAAUGUAGAUUUCAAACGGGGAUAGAACCCAAUAAUAAUACAAUAAUUGAAAGGCGUAAGGAAAGCUUAAUCAGGGAAGCACAAUUUCUACAUUAAAUAGACCUCUGUCAACACUCAAAACACUGUGGGUGAAUUAUUGUACUGGACUCUUAAAUAAUCACACACAACUUUGACAUGAACUAAACCCAUAUAUUGUGUAAAUUGUAAAACAGGUAUUAUGCAUUCUCAAACUGGGUAAAACGACUAUCAUGCAUCAACAUUCCCCUUUUAAGCUGCUCAAUUCAUAUGCCUUGAAGUAAUAGUGGUUUUAGGCUAAACAUCAUAUUUCCUGAAACAUAUCUGGCAUCUUGAAGAUCAAUUUUCACAUGAUCCUUUCCCACAGCAAUCUUCAGAUUAAUUGUGAAGUGAAGCUUGAGCCAUUUCAAAGUUCAGAGAGACACUUCCCAUUGAUGAAAUCAAUUACUUGGGCAACUGCCUCGUCAAGUGCAGCAGUCACUGCUGCCAAAUUCUGCAGGAAUUCCUCUGCGGCUGGCUUCUCACCAUCUACAAUAUCAGUCACUGCUUUUACAAAUAUUGCAGGGACUUUUAAAAGAUCAGCAACAUAAGCAACUGCUGCUCCCUGAGACAAAAUGUCAAGAAAUAAUUGAUCUUUUGUGGACGCAGAAGGAACAUGCAUAUGCAUUGAGGAAUGUAAUCAUUCUUUAAAGUAGCGUUCUUCCUAUAUCAUUUUAAGCAACUAAAUUACCAUAAUAGCAGGAAGUAUAUAUUUUCACUUGCUUGACCUUCCAUGACAAGGCAUAAGCAAAUAAUUAUGGUGCAUUAUCAAUAUUUAAGGCUCCUUUACAUUAUAAUCUCAGUUAUAUCAACUACAACAGCUUAAAUAAGCAUACAUCUAAUCUAUCAGAUACUAAAAUCUAUUAACUCUGUCCAUUAGAGGGUAGGGACAACAUGACCCAUUCAGCUCACAUCUUAUCAAAUGAUGUUUAAACAUUACCUCCAUGUCUUUAACUGAAGCAUCAUUUGCAAUAAUUGGUGCUUCGUCUUGUGGAGACAUGUCCAAAGAGUCUUCAGUAGACAACUUGAUAUUGCACAUUAGAAGUUCUAGCUGAUAUAUUGUGGGCUCCAAAUGAAUGAAUCAAAAAAUUUUCCACCAUGCCAUAAGAUCAGCAUAAACUAAAUACAAAUUCUUGUCAAACAUAACAUAAAUUAGUUUUCAUGAAAAUUAAUGAUCCCAAAAUAUGUUAUAGUCUAUCCUUAUUAUUUGAAGGAAAACCCUACCUACAUAUAAUUCAAUUUUUCAUGAAAUACUAUUUAAUUAAAUGCACUACUAACAGUAAAACUCAACCACCAAAAAUUUUGUUAACCAGCAAAAGCACAUAGGACAGACAAACCACUUGUAAAACAGAUAGUACACAUACACAAAUGAGAUCAAUGGUAUUCACACUUAACGCUACAUUCAACUACAAGGCCAGUGUGCACUACAAUAAAUUGAGUUGUUAAAAGUAAUAAUGGUCUAAACCACCACCUCGUAGAAUAAGUAAACAAAACCAAUGAAAUAUACAUAAAAUGCACCUUUUUUUAUGCAGGGUUGGUUUACUGUGAAUUUUGAACAAGCCUAAACUAUACGCUUGUUAUUGAAACAAUAGAAAGGCUCAUUCAUGAAUCUAACCAUCCAUCACCACCUCCCGGCAAUAAUUACUAGUUAACUUGUCUUUAAUUCAAAUUUUCUGAGACAAAAUAAGAAUAAUUAAAAAAAAAUCCCGGCAAUAAUUACUAGUUAACUUGUCUUUAAUUCAAAUUUUCUGAGACAAAAUAAGAAUAAUUAAAAAAAAAAACUAAUUACCUAAGAAUGAGAGUAAUUUAGCGGAGAGGAUAAUUACUAAAAAGAGACUGAGAUUGAGUGUAAGAGUGAGCCGCGGAGCGAGAGACUGAGAGUCAGAGAAAGAAAGAGAAAAUCAUACCCUCAUUCCAGCAUGCCAGUGACAAAAUGAAAAAAAAUUGAGAGAUAUCCUACCUCCUUCGCGACUGAGAGUGCGCGGAUUUUCUCCUUCGCGAAUGAAGUGAGAGAGUAGGAGCGAGAGAGGGUCAGUGAGAAAGUAAGAA